GUGCCGGAUUCGGCAGCACAUAUACUAAAAUUGGAAUGAUACAGGGAAGAUUAGCAUGGCCCCUGCAGAGAAUGACAUGCAAAUUCAUGCAGCAUUAAAAGAAAAA
ensembl:snRNA U6 U6 spliceosomal RNA